AAAUUUCUGAGCCAGCCAAGGGACAGUAGUCCAGAAAUCUUGGGGAGGGUUUGAUGGUUCAGGCAAUAAAAAGAGAAGUCAUCUACCUAGCUGUUAUCUCGCUCUGUCCUGCUAAGAAUCUGCCUGCCUGAGUGAUGCAGCCAGGCUCCCUUGUUCCCUGGGGCAAGGAACCAGUAGAGGGAUAGGGAAUCACAGUGUUUCCCGGCUGCAAGGGCCCUUGGAGAUGGUUUUACAGAUGAGGAAGCAGAGUCCAGAGAAAGGAAGUGAUCUGCUGGGAACCACUGUACUUUUCACACAAGCAACUUUCCGGGCAUCUGCUAUGUGCUGUCCACAGGAUGGCGAGGGGUCCUAUCUCCAGUAAUGGUAUCUGCAAAGGAGUGCAGCUCCCAGCCUGCUAUCUGCAGGAGCCCGAGUGGGGAAGCCUGUGUAGUCUCAGGUCUCAGCCUUGACUUUCACGGUGUGACUGUGGUGUCUCAGGACUCUGCGACCCAGGAUCAUCAUUGUGACCAUCUUCCUAGUCUUCACUGCUUCCUUUACACCUCAAUUCUGAGGACCUGCUCUGAGCCGCACACGGUUCUGGGCUCUAGGAAUGGCGGAGGACUUGGGUGCCACGAGAGCACCAGGUAGUAGCUCCAGCUCAGCCUCCCCUAACCCUGACUCAAACAAAACCAUCAGAUGCAUCCCCUACCACUAUCUAUCUGUCUGAGGAUUCUCAGAACCUUUCCACUGGUGGGAAUGUAAAGUGAUGCAGCCCUGCGGAAAGAAGUUUGGCCAUUCCUCAAAAGUAUAUUAUAUAGAAUUACUAUAUGACCCGGCAACUCCCCUCCUAGGCAUAUGCCCAAAAGAAUUGAAAGCAAGGACUCAAACAAAUACUUGGGCGUACAUGCUUAUAGGAGCAUUAUUCACACUAGCCAAAGGUGGGCACAGUUGUCCAUCAGCAGAUGAAUGGCUACACAAGGUGUAGUAUAUACAUACAAAGAAAUACUACUAUUCAGCCAUAAAAAGGAAUGGAAUUCUGAUACAUGCAACAACAUGGAUGAACUUCAGAAACAUGCUAAGUUUCUAAGCCAAGCUAACAUGCUAAGAAGCCAGACACUGAAGGUCACAUAUUGUAUGAUUCUGCUUAUAUGAAACAUCUGGAAAGAGACAGAAAGCACAUCAGUGACUGCCAGGGCCUGGGAUGAGGAGAACUUGGGAGUGAUUGCUUCGUGGGCAUGAGUUUUCCCUUUGGGGUGAAGAAAAUGUUCUGCAACUAAAUAGAGGCAGCAGAUGCAUGACACUGUGAAUGUACUAAGUGCUACUGAAUUGUGUUUAAAAUGGUUAAUUUUAUAUUAUGUGAAUUUCACCUCUAAGAAUUUUUUUUUCUUUUUUUCUUUUUUUUUUUUUGAGACCAAGUCUCACUCUGUCACCCAGACUGGAGUGCAGUGGUGCAAUCUUGGCUCACUGCAACCUCUGCCUCCUGGGUUCAAGUGAUUCUCCUGCCUCAGCCUCCCAAGUAGCUGGGACUACAGGUGCCCGAUACCACACCACACCUGGCUAAUUUUCGUAUUUUUAGUAGAUAUGGGGUUUUGCCAUGUUGGCCAGGCUGGUCUUGAACUCCUGACCUCAUGUGAUCUGCCCACCUCAGCCUCCCAAAGUGCUGGGAUUACAGGUAUGAGCCAACAUGCCUGGCCUAAGAAAAAAUUUUAAUUAAAACUUGCCGCUGCCUACAAAUCUCACAGCACCCUGAUGUCACAUAUAUCAGCCGCAACUCCACCUGCUAACCCAGAGCUCCAGAUUCCUGACAUGAGGUAGUAGGUGAGACUGUUGAGGCAGGAAUUUGAAGAUUGGCCUGCAGUGGGGCCGCGUGCGGGUCAGGGGGUUGGCACGGGGGCCUCUCUUAGCUAGCGAGUGCACUAGAGGCCUCCCAACACAGGCAUCACACCUCGGAUCAAUUUUGUCCUGUCUCCCUAUCCCCAUGCUCACUGUAACACUCAUAAUGUGCUUUGCUGCACCUGGUGGGAGGAGUUAACGAUAUGUAAUAGUGGUAGCUGAGAAUUGUGGGGGCUAACAUGGCUUCAAAACACUCCCUUUGUCACUGAUUGGGAAGUAAUGAGAGGUCUAGAUCUUUAGCUUGGGCUUCCAAACUCAAUGGAUGGGCUCAGUUAACUCCCAGCAUCACUCCCACCCCUCCGGGAGGACACUCCACUACUCUGGCACUCUCUUGAAGACUCAGAUUAUUACUUCCUCCACACCAGAGCACCACUCUUCUGUGAAGACUCUUUGGCCCAGCCUCCAGUUUUCCCUUGCUUGCCUGAACUCCUGAGGUCACUGUCUGGGCCUCUUCCCUGGUGUUUAUUCUAACUGUGUGUGCAUGUAGGUCAGUCAUAUGAAAGUUUGUCAUUUUGGUAGUUAAUAUCAGCCCUACUUUGUAUUUGCUUUAAGAGGAAGUGAAAUACAUUCGUGCAUUUAUUUUGUCUUUUGUACUUGGCUGGGAUUCUGUAAUUAAUACUUGCUGUUUAAAUGUAGACUGGCUGUACGUGGCUCCCUCGAAUCUGACACUAGCAUUUCCUCUUGGGCUUGUCACAGGUGAUCUGACCUGGGCCUGUCCCCGGACUGAUGGCGGCAGCAUUGUUAGUGGGAAAGCAGGUGGAGCAGGAGGCUCUGUGGGAUUGGGAUGUGGACAGUGGGAGAUGCCAGGGGCACCCCAGUCUUACCCUGAGAACAGUA
rnacentral:lncRNA from 1 species